AAUCCUGGUUGAAGAUGGGUGGACCAUCAUCCAAGGCUAAAUACUACUUACUGACCGAUAGUGAACCAGUACCGUGAGGGAAAGGUGAAAAGAACCCCGGAGAGGGGAGUGAAAUAGAAUCUGAAACCGUUUGCGUACAAGCAGUGGGAGCAUGGUUUAGGCUGUGUGACUGCGUACCUUUUGUAUAAUGGGUCAGCGAGUUACUUUCAGUGGCGAGGUUAACUGAAUAAGGGAGCCGUAGAGAAAUCGAGUCUGAAUAGGGCGAUAGUCGCUGGGAGUAGACCCGAAACCGGGCGAUCUAGCCAUGUGCAGGAUGAAGGUUGGGUAACACCAACUGGAGGUCCGAACCGGGUAAUGUUGAAAAAUUAUCGGAUGACGUGUGGCUAGGAGUGAAAGGCUAAUCAAGCCCGGAGAUAGCUGGUUCUCCCCGAAAGCUAUUUAGGUAGCGCCUCGUGAAUGAUUACUGGGGGUAGAGCACUGUUUCGGCUAGGGGGCUGUCAUGGCUUACCAAACCGAUGCAAACUCCGAAUACCGGCUAAUUGAAUCACGGGAGACACACGGCGGGUGCUAACGUCCGUCGUGGAGAGGGAAACAACCCAGACCGCCAGCUAAGGUCCCCAAGUACUAGUUAAGUGGGAAACGAUGUGGGAAGGCAUAGACAGCCAGGAGGUUGGCUUAGAAGCAGCCACCCUUUAAAGAAAGCGUAAUAGCUCACUGGUCGAGUCGGCCUGCGCGGAAGAUGUAACGGGGCUAAAACUAGUCACCGAAGCUGCGGAUGUGCGCGAAGGCGCACGUGGUAGGGGAGCGUUCUGUAGGCUGAUGAAGGUGCAUUGAGAAGUGUGCUGGAGGUAUCAGAAGUGCGAAUGCUGACAUGAGUAACGAUAAUGUGGGUGAAAAGCCCACACGCCGGAAGUCCCAGGUUUCCUGCACGACGUUAAUCGGAGCAGGGUGAGUCGGCCCCUAAGGCGAGGCUGAAGAGCGUAGUCGAUGGGAACCAGGUUAAUAUUCCUGGACUUUUUAUAAGUGGUGAAGUGGGGACGAAGAAGGCUAGGUGAGCCAGGCGUUGGUUGUCCUGGUACUUGCAUGUAGGGGGGAAGACUUGGCAAAUCCGGUUUUCCAUAACUCUGAGGUGCGAAGUGGUUCUGACCUUUUGGUACAGAGAAGUCAUUGAUGCCCGGCUUCCAGGAAAAGCUGCUAGCCAUAACUUAUAGAGAACCGUACCGCAAACCGACACAGGUGGACAGGUAGAGAAUACUAAGGCGCUUGAGAGAACUCGGGUGAAGGAACUAGGCAAAAUGGUACCGUAACUUCGGGAGAAGGUACGCCCUUUCUGGUGAUGGGAUUUACUUUCAGA
rnacentral:rRNA from 1 species